rnacentral:rRNA from 1 species
AUGAACGCUGGCGGCGUGCCUAAUACAUGCAGGUCGAGCGAACAGACGAGGAGCUUGCUCCUCUGACGUUAGCGGCGGACGGGUGAGUAACACGUGGAUAACCUACCUAUAAGACUGGGAUAACUUCGGGAAACCGGAGCUAAUACCGGAUAAUAUAUUGAACCGCAUGGUUCAAUAGUGAAAGACGGUUUUGCUGUCACUUAUAGAUGGAUCCGCGCCGCAUUAGCUAGUUGGUAAGGUAACGGCUUACCAAGGCAACGAUGCGUAGCCGACCUGAGAGGGUGAUCGGCCACACUGGAACUGAGACACGGUCCAGACUCCUACGGGAGGCAGCAGUAGGGAAUCUGCCGCAAUGGGCGAAAGCCUGACGGAGCAACGGCGCGUGAGUGAUGAAGGUCUUCGGAUCGUAAAACUCUGUUAUUAGGGAAGAACAAAUGUGUAAGUAACGAUGCACGUCUUGACGGUACCUAAUCAGAAAGCCACGGCUAACUACGUG